rnacentral:lncRNA from 1 species
UGCCGGGCCCAGAUCUUCCUGGAGUCGGGUUGCUUGGGAAUGCAGCCCAAAGUGGGUGGUAAACUCCAUUUAAGGCCAAAUACCGGCACGAGACCGAAAGCCAACAAGUACAGUAAGGAAAAGUUGAAAAGAACUUUGAAGAGAGUUCAAGAGGACGUGAAACCGUUAAGAGGUAAACGGGUGUGGUCAGCGCAGUCCGCCCAGAGGAUUCAACCCAGAGACGGGCGUUCGGCUGUGCGGGAUCUGGCAAUGGAAGUGAACAAGGAUGGAAAGACUCAGAAAUCUGACGAUUGCUUUGGCUUUGACACCAGACAUGGAGAUGCAGAUUUUGGAGUUUGCUCAGGGAACAUGUACAAAAUAUUAAAAAGUACCCAAGAGUCAAGUAUGGAGAAAGUCUGGUAACAAGAGAUCCAGGAGACAUGGGCUAAAUGUUUCUUUAACUCUUUAUCUCUUCAUAAAAACAGUUCACUAUGAGCUGUUGGCUCUUGGAGAAGACUGGUGAGGAGUGUCAGCAAAACUGACUCUAUUGGAUGCUUUACCAUAGAACAUGGGGCCUUCAGUUCAAUAAAUGAUUCAUGC